UACGUAGGUGGCAAGCGUUGUCCGGAUUUAUUGGGUUUAAAGGGUGCGUAGGCGGUUCUAUAAGUCAGUGGUGAAAUAACGGCAGCUCAACUGUCGAGGUGCCAUUGAAUACUGUAGAACUUGAGUACAGACGAGGUAGGCGGAAUUGACGGUGUAGCGGUGAAAUGCUUAGAUAUCGUCAAGAACACCGAUAGCGAAGGCAGCUUACUAGACUGUAACUGACGCUGAGGCACGAAAGUGUGGGGAUCAAACAGG
rnacentral:rRNA from 1 species